rnacentral:rRNA from 1 species
UCCAGACUCCUACGGGAGGCAGCAGUGGGGGAUAUUGCACAAUGGGGGGAACCCUGAUGCAGCGACGCCGCGUGGGUGAAGGAGCGUUUCGGCGCGUAAAGCCCUAUCGGCAGGGAAGAAGGAGGACGGUACCUGACUAAGAAGCCCCGGCUAACUACGUGCCAGCAGCCGCGGUAAUACGUAGGGGGCAAGCGUUAUCCGGAUUUACUGGGUGUAAAGGGGGCGCAGACGGCAGCGCAAGCCAGGAGUGAAAGCCCGGGGCCCAACCCCGGGACUGCUCUUGGAACUGCGUGGCUGGAGUGCAGGAGGGGCAGGCGGAAUUCCUGGUGUAGCGGUGAAAUGCGUAGAUAUCAGGAGGAACACCGGUGGCGAAGGCGGCCUGCUGGACUGCAACUGACGUUGAGGCCCGAAAGCGUGAGGAGCAAACAGGAUUAGAUACCCUAGUA